GAUGAAGAACGUAGCGAAAUGCGAUACUUGGUGUGAAUUGCAGAAUCCCGUGAACCAUCGAGUCUUUGAACGCAAGUUGCGCCCGAAGCCAUUAGGCCGAGGGCACGCCUGCCUGGGCGUCACACGUCGUUGCCCCCCCAUCUACUCCUUCGGGAUUGCGAGGGGCGGAUGAUGGCCUCCCGUGCGCCUCGUCGCGCGGUUGGCAUAAAUACCAAGUCCUCGGCGACGCACGCCACGACAAUCGGUGGUUGCGAAACCUCGGUUGCCCGUCGUGUGCGGUCGUCGCGCAUCGAGGGCUCGAAAAAAUUGCCGGGCUCCGGCUCGGCUUUCAACGCGACCCCAGGUCAGGCGGGGUUACCCGCUGAAUUUAAGCAUAUCAAUAAGCGGAGGA
rnacentral:misc_RNA from 1 species